GACCUGAUAGCACAAUGGUUAGUGCCUCUGCUCAACUUACUGAUGAAAACCAGGUGUAGCAGAUGAUCCCCGUUUGAUUCGGGGUCAGAUCA